rnacentral:rRNA from 1 species
AGCGAACGCUGGCGGCAGGCUUAACACAUGCAAGUCGAGCGGGCACUUUCGGGUGUCAGCGGCGGACGGGUGAGUAACGCGUGGGAACGUGCCCUCUGGUUCGGAAUAACUCAGGGAAACUUGAGCUAAUACCGGAUACGCCCUUUUGGGGGAAGGCUUGCUGCCGGAGGAUCGGGCCGCGUCUGAUUAGCUAGUUGGUGAGGUAACGGCUCACCAAGGCGACGAUCAGUAGCUGGUCUGAGAGGAUGAUCAGCCACACUGGGACUGAGACACGGCCCAGACUCCUACGGGAGGCCGCAGUGGUGAAUAUUGGACAAUGGGCGCAAGCCUGAUCCAGCCAUGCCGCGUGAGUGAUGAAGGGCUUAGGGAUGUAAAGCUCUUUUAUCCGGGACGAUAAUGACGGUACCGGAGGAAUAAGCCCCGGCAAACUUCGG